GCAGCUUAACUGUGGAACUGUCAGUGAUACUGGUUUUCUUGAAUAUAGUUGAGGUAGCCGGAAUGUGUAAUGUAGCGGUGAAAUGCUUAGAUAUUACACAGAACACCGAUUGCGAAGGCAGCUUACUAAACUAUGAUUGACGCUGAGGUACGAAAGCGUGGGGAGCGAACAGGAUUUAGAUACCCUGGUAGUCCACGCUGUAAACGAUGAUCACUCGUUGUUGGCGAUAUACUGUCAGCGACUGAGCGAAAGCAUUAAGUGAUCCACCUGGGGAGUACGACCGCAAGGUUGAAACUCAAAGGAAUUGACGGGGGCCCGCACAAGCGGAGGAACAUGUGGUUUAAUUCGAUGAUACGCGAGGAACCUUACCUGGGCUUAAAUGCAGAACGACGGACCGGGAAACUGGUCUUUCUUCGGACGGACUGCAAGGUGCUGCAUGGCUGUCGUCAGCUCGUGCCGUGAGGUGUCGGGUUAAGUCCCAUAACGAGCGCAACCCUCAUCAUUAGUUGCCAGCGGGUAAUGCCGGGGACUCUAAUGAAACUGCCGGUGUAAACCGAGAGGAAGGUGGGGAUGACGUCAAGUCAGCACGGCCCUUAUGUCCAGGGCUACACACGUGUUACAAUGGUCGGUACAAAGGGCAGCUACCUGGUGACAGGAUGCUAAUCUCGAAAACCGAUCUUAGUUCGGAUCGAAGUCUGCAACUCGACUUCGUGAAGCUGGAUUCGCUAGUAAUCGCGCAUCAGCCACGGCGCGGUGAUACGUUCCCGGGCNUUGUACACACCGCCCGUCAAGCCAU
rnacentral:rRNA from 1 species